GGGCGGGUAGUUCAGUUGGCUAGAACGUCUCGUUUACACCGAGAAGGUCACAGGUUCAAGUCCUGUUCCGCCCACCA
rnacentral:tRNA from 1 species